UCCGAGGAGGAGCGGCCUGUGGAACAGCCGGUGUGAAGAUCUGCUUGACUGUAUCAAGUGUGUGAUUCCUUGCUAAAAGCUUCUCUCAUUCUCCCGAGGAUUCGACUAUCACCUGGGAUUUUUCCGCGUCGACAUUCUCGUCGACUGCCUGAUCCUGUAAUCUCUGUGAUAAGAAAAAUUAGGAAAACCACAUUUCUGCGCGGACGAAAUCAGGUUAUUAAAUCUAGCAUUGGAAAUCUGUGCGUUAUUCCGCAAUCGUGGCAAUCGUUAUUACCAGGCUCGUAAUGUCAAAACUGGAACGUAUAAUGGGAAGAGAGAAAAAUAUUCCACGGAAAUAAUCACUGGCGUGCAAGAUGAAACUUUUGGAUUCGAUUUACGACGCAAAAAACAUUUACAACACGUAUUCCCACUAUACUUACUCGCUAAAUAACUUACGAGAUCUUUUAUCAGUGGAAAUUAAUUAUUUCUCGCUGUCGUUCAUACAAAGAGUUAUUAUUAUGUACCAGA